rnacentral:ncRNA from 2 species
AGAGUUAAAUAGUACGUGAAAUUGUUGAAAGGGAAACGUUUGACACCAGUUUUGCGGGUGGGAAAUCAGUCGCGUUGCAGUGGAGAGUGGCAAGGGUUCAGACCGCAAGGCUGGCCUUUGUCUCAUCUUUGUUGCGGGCGAUGCACUUUUUCAUUUGCAGGUCAACAUCAGUUUCUUCCGCUGGACAAAACCUCGAGAGAAUGUAGCAGCUUUGGCUGUGUUAUAGCUCUGGGGCGAUACAGUGGUGGGGACUGAGGUUUCGCAGUGUGUGCUCUCGGGCAAGGCUGACUGGGUGCUGUGGAAUGGUUCAGUGUACAAUGCUUGCAUUUUGCGCAGAGUCUGUUCUGUACUCGCUCAACUCGGUUCUUCCACGCUUAGGAUGUUGACAUAAUGGUUUUAAACGACC